GCUACGGGCGGCAGCAGUGAGGAAUAUUGGUCAAUGGACGAGAGUCUGAACCAGCCAAGUAGCGUGAAGGAUGACUGCCCUAUGGGUUGUAAACUUCUUUUAUAUGGGAAUAAAAUGUUCCACGUGUGGGAUUUUGGAUGUACCAUAUGAAUAAGGAUCGGCUAACUCCGUGCCAGCAGCCGCGGUAAUACGGAGGAUCCGAGCGUUAUCCGGAUUUCUUGGGUUUAAAGGGAGCGUAGGUGGAUUGUUAAGUCAGUUGUGACAGUUUGCGGCUCAACCGUAAAAUUGCAGUUGAAACUGGCAGUCUUGAGUACAGUAGAGGUGGGCGGAAUUCGUGGUGUAGCGGUGUAAUGCUUAGAUAUCACGAAGAACUCCGAUUGCGAAGGCAGCUCACUGGACUGCAACUGACACUGAGGCUCGAAAGUGUGGGUAUCAAACAGGAUUAGAUACCCUAGUAGUC
rnacentral:rRNA from 1 species